GAUGAAGAACGUAGCGAAAUGCGAUAAGUAAUGUGAAUUGCAGAAUUCAGUGAAUCAUCGAAUCUUUGAACGCACCUUGCGCUCCUUGGUAUUCCGAGGAGCAUGCCUGUUUGAGUGUCAUUAAUAUAUCAACCUUCUCUUUUUUGAGUUGUUUGGAUGUGGGGGUUUGCUGGCCUCUUAAAUGAUUCAGCUCCCCUGAAAUGCAUUAGCAGAACAACCUGUUCAUUAGCGUGAUAAUUAUCUAUGCUAUUGAAUGUGAGGGAAGUUCAGCUUUCUAACCGUCCUUGGACAAUUCAUCAUUAAUGUGACCUCAAAUCAGGUAGGACUACCCGCUGAACUUAAGCAUAUCAAUAAGCGGAGGA
rnacentral:misc_RNA from 1 species